UACGUAGGGGGCAAGCGUUGUCCGGAAUCAUUGGGCGUAAAGCGCGCGUAGGCGGCCCGGUAAGUCCGCUGUGAAAGUCAAAGGCUCAACCUUUGAAUGUCAGCGGAUACUGCCGGGCUAGAGUCCGGAAGAGGCGAGUGGAACUCCUGGUGUAGCGGUGGAAUGCGCAGAUAUCAGGAAGAACACCAACGGCGAAGGCAGCUCGCUGGGACGGAACUGACGCUGAGGCGCGAAAGCGUGGGUAGCGAACAGG
rnacentral:rRNA from 1 species